UGAGCGUUAGGAAGAUGUCGAGGUUUUACAAUUCCAAGCUUCGUCAUUGACCCAUUAAACGCCAGAUUAAUAUAAACUGAGACCUGUUAACAGUCUCAGUUGAGCCAACAGGGCCGCAAAGAAGCAAACCUAUCUUUGUUCGGUAGUAAGCUGCUCGCACAAA